CGUGCCCAAGGCCCCAUAAGCUGGCACCAGAACUUCGCAGUUUCUGGUGAACGUGUCUGACCUCUCCUACUGGACCAAACACUCCCUCAGAGCAGGAUGCCUCCUGCCCAUAUGGUACUGAAAACUGUGGCACUGGAAUAGAACUGAGAGCCCAGAAAUAAACCCAUACAUCCGUGGUCAACUGACUUUCAACAAGGAUGCCGAGACCAUACGACGGAGAAAGAACAGUCCUUCCAACAACAUCUGCUGGGACAAGUGCAGAGCCACCUGCAGAAGGAUGACGUGGACCCUGACAUCACACCAUUGCAAAAUUUAACUCAAACGGAUCAAAACCUAAUGCAAGAGCUAAAACUAUGAAAUUCGUAUAAGGAAUGUCAGGGUAAAUUUUCAUGACUUCAGAUUUGGCAGUGAUUUCUUAGAGGACACCAAAAAAUAGGUGUCAUCUACAUUUUGGUGUCAUCUAAGAUUUGGCAAUGAUUUCUUAGAUGACACCAUACACACCAAAAGAAAAAAGAGACAAAUUGGAUUUUUUAUCAUAAUUUUUUUGAGACGGGGUAAUGCCGUGCUGUUUAGGUUCAUCUCAAACUCCUGGGCUCAAGUUGUCCUCCCACCUCGGCCCCCCAGAUAGCUGAGAUGACAGGCAUACACCACUGUGCCUGGCUGACUUUAUCGUAAUUUGUAAAUCUGUCAUAAUUUACAACUUUGUCCAUCAAAGGACACUAUCGAGAAGGUGAAAAGACAGCCCAUAGAAUGGGAGAAGAUAUUUGCAAACCAUAUAUCUCAUAAGGGUCUAGUAUCUACACUAUAUAAAUAAUUCUCACAACUCAACAACAAAAUGACAAUUCCAUUUAAACAUGGGCAAAGGAUUUGAAAAGACAUUUCCCCAAAGAAGAUACGCAAAUGCCCAAAAAUCACAUGAAAAAAGACUCAAUAUUGUUAACCAUCAGGAAAAUACAAAUCAAAACCACCAUGAGAUACCACUUCACAUCCACUAGGAUGGCUACACUAAAAAAUAUGAAAAAUAACAAGUGUUCGUGAGGAUGUGGAGAAACUGGAACACUUGUAUCUUGUUGGUGGGAAUGGAGAUGGUGCAGCCACUAUGGAAGACAGUUUAGUUCCUCAACAAGUUAACACACAAUUAUCAUCUGACCCAACAAUUUCGCUCCCAGGUAUAGACCCAAAAGAAUUGAAAGCAAGUGUUCAAAUUAAAACCUGUACACCAAUGCUCAUAGCAGCACCAUUCACAAUAGCCAAAGGGGGAAACAACUCAAAUGUCCAUCAACUGGGAAAAGGACAAACAAAAUAUGGUGUAUCCACACAAAAGGAUAUUAUUUGGCUAUAAAAAGGAAUGAAGUAUCGAUUCAUGCUACAACACAGACAAACCUUGAAAAUCUGUUAAAAGAAGCCAGUCACAAAAAACCACAUAUAUGAUCCCAUUUAUGUAAAAUGUUCAGAAUAGACAAAUUUAUAGAGACAGAAAGUAGAUUAGUGGUUGCCUAGGGCUUGUUGGGGUCAGGGAAGGGGGACAGCAAAAGGGAAUAGGGUUUCUGUAUGUGGUGAUGAUUGGUGAUGGUGAUUAGAAGGUCAUCCAUGACAUCCCCCAUUACUCUGGUGAAUGAAGACCAUCUAUCCCAAAUUAAUAUGUUAUUAAUUUAUUCUCCUCAUAGAGAAUUUAUAGAGUCUCAUUGACCAACCAGCCAGACAUGAUGCUAAUCUGGGUUCCAAAAACAAGAAACACCACGACAGAUCAAGGAAAUUGUUAGUGAUGGAAUCCAAAUGUCAGGCAUGUAAGUUUCACUAUAACAUUUGUUCCACUUUGCUGCAUGUUUUUAAUUAUUCAUAAUAAAUUAUUAUAAAAGUAAAAUUACAAGUAGGUAUUUUGGGCAUUCAACCUGUAGAAACCAGGUUCACAACAUUAGGAGGACACAGACAAUGACCUUGCAAGGUCCCACUUGCAAAAAAACACAUCCAUGCCUGUUCCUGCUCCCCACAGGUGUCCACAGGCGACACACCAGGUGACAUGGCUGCCUCAGGGAAGCAGAAGAUGCAGGACUUCCCUAUCGUGGCACAGGACUGAGGGCUGUGGAGUCAGUCUCUACGUAAACACAUUCAGCUCUCUGAGUUCAAACCAAGUCAGAAAAUGGGCAGAGCCACUGCUUUUAUUAGCUCCAAAUGAAUCUGGCAAGGGAUGCUGGGACUGACAAAGCAGGCGCUCAACCCUGUCACGCACUCCAGGUAGCCCUGCCAGCAGGCUGAUGAAUUCUCUUCUUCUGACAGGUGACAAAGGGCAGUGGUUACAGGUCUGGGCUCAGGGUCGCGUAUCUGAGGUUUGCAUUCUGGCUGCGAAUUAUGAGCUUGGUGACCUUGGGCAACUUCCUUCAUUUCUCUAAGGCUUGGGUGCAUCAUCUAUAAAUGAGUAGCUGCCUCCUGGGGCUAUUGGGAAGAAUAAAUUCAACCGGUGGUUCUGAAUCGGAGUGAUUUUGUCCCCCAAGAGACAUUUGGAAAUAUCUGGAGACAUAGUU
rnacentral:lncRNA from 1 species